rnacentral:rRNA from 1 species
UACGGAGGGGGCUAGCGUUGUUCGGAAUCACUGGGCGUAAAGGGUGCGUAGGCGGGUCUUUAAGUCAGGGGUGAAAUCCUGGAGCUCAACUCCAGAACUGCCUUUGAUACUGAAGAUCUUGAGUCCGGGAGAGGUGAGUGGAACUGCGAGUGUAGAGGUGAAAUUCGUAGAUAUUCGCAAGAACACCAGUGGCGAAGGCGGCUCACUGGCCCGAUACUGACGCUGAGGCACGAAAGCGUGGGGAGCAAACAGG